rnacentral:rRNA from 1 species
GAUGAACGCUGGCGGCGUGCUUAACACAUGCAAGUCGAACGGGAUCCCAGGAGCUUGCUCCUGGGUGAGAGUGGCGAACGGGUGAGUAAUGCGUGACCGACCUGCCCCAUACACCGGAAUAGCUCCUGGAAACGGGUGGUAAUGCCGGAUGCUCCAGUUGGAUGCAUGUCCUUCUGGGAAAGAUUCUAUCGGUGUGGGAUGGGGGUCGCGUCCUAUCAGCUUGAUGGCGGGGUAACGGCCCACCCAUGGCUU